rnacentral:tRNA from 1 species
GCGGCCGUGCGUGGAACAGGAGACCGGGCGGUCUUAAAAACCGCCGUGCCGUCAGGCGCGUGAGCGUGCAAGUCGCUCCGGCCGCACCA